rnacentral:rRNA from 1 species
GGGUGUAAAGCGAGUGUAGGUGGUUGUCAUAGUCAGGUGUGAAAGCCUUGAGCUCAACUCAAGAAAUGCACUUGAUACUGGGCGACUAGAGGACCGGAGAGGAUAGUGGAAUUCCCAGUGUAGUGGUGAAAUACGUAGAGAUUGGGAAGAACACCAGUGGCGAAGGCGGCUAUCUGGACGGUUACUGACACUAAGACUCGAAAGCGUGGGGAGCAAACAGGAUUAGAUACCCUGGUAGUCCACGCCGUAAACGAUGGGUGCUAGACGUUGGCGAGCUUGCUCGUCAGUGUCGCAGCUAACGCGUUAAGCACCCCGCCUGGGGAGUACGGCCGCAAGGUUGAAACU